rnacentral:rRNA from 1 species
GGAGUUAGCCGGUGCUUCUUCUGUGAGUGAUGUCCUUCCUGCCGGCUAUUAACCCGCAGGCCUUCUUCCUCACUGAAAGUGCUUUACAACCCGAAGGCCUUCUUCACACACGCGGCAUGGCUGGAUCAGGGUUGCCCCCAUUGUCCAAUAUUCCCCACUGCUGCCUCCCGUAGGAGUCUGGGCCGUGUCUCAGUCCCAGUGUGGCUGAUCAUCCUCUCAGACCAGCUACGGAUCGUCGCCUUGGUGAGCCGUUACCUCACCAACCAGCUAAUCCGACAUAGGCUCAUCCGAUAGCGCGAGGCCCGAAGGUCCCCCGCUUUCCCCCGUAGGGCGUAUGCGGUAUUAGCCUGGGUUUCCCCAGGUUAUCCCCAACUACCGGGCAGAUUCCUAUGCAUUACUCACCCGUCCGCCGCUCGCCACCAGGGAGCAAGCUCCCCGUGCUGCCGCUCGACUUGCAUGUGUUAGGCCUGCCGCCAGCGUUCAAUCUGAGCCAGGAUCAACUCUGA